rnacentral:tRNA from 1 species
GCGGAAGUGGCGGAAUUGGCAGACGCGCUGGAUUCAGGUUCCAGUGGCCGCAAGGUCGUGAAGGUUCAAGUCCUUUCUUCCGCA